CAGAAAAUAGCUAUUUGGGUCGAAUUCCAACCUGGAGUUUUUCUGUUUGGAAGGUGUUCCAGAAAUUGAAUAUUUUACAGAAAAGAAAAUUAAAGUUGUUGAUUUUCCACUUUUAAGGUUCAUUGAAGGCACCACCAAUUAUUGUUUACAUCAGCAGACCGGAAACGGUUCGAAGCGUCAUGGCGAACGCGUGUUGCAGCUUGGUGGCUUAAACACGGGAAGAAUUUGGGUUUCUAAAUCUUAGCUGAACCCUGCAUUGAGCUCCGAUGUCCCUGCAGGGGGCGGUCAGGAGGAGCUUCGUGGCUCUCCAGGACCAGCGGGCGGCGUGGAGGAGCGUCCUGGAGGAGUGCGACCCCCUCAUGGAGUCUCUGGGGAACCUGGGGCAGCAGAUGAAGGCUCUGUCCCGGGUCCGGGUCUCCGACACGCCGCUCAGGGCGUUUCCGGACCUCCAGGAGCGGCUGCAGUUCCAGCUGCUGCAGGCUGUGGACCUGCUGCUGCAGAGACUCGGGGACAGGAUGUCCCGCCUCCAGUCCAUCAGGGACUCCGUUGGCGGCCAUGUUUCUGCCGCCCUGCAGCUCUACCAGGACUCCGCAGACAGUCUGGAUGUUGCCGUGGCGACGCAGCGCUCCUCCGUCGCUCCGUCGCUCGCCGACAUGUUGGAGUGGCUUCAGGACGCCGAGCGUUUCUACAGACGGCAGUUCCUGCAGAGGAAGACUCUGCUGCUGACGCUGAGGCGGGACGACCGCGCGCAGCUGGAGGGCGCGGCCAACGCCUGGAGGAGCCUGGACUCUCCUGAUGCAGAGCAGCAAAUCACAGACAAUCUGUGCAGACUGGGCUUCUUCCUGGAGGCCCAGUGAUCCGACCUCAGACCCGCUGCUGGAUCAGAACCGGCCGAACUGAUCGGACCCAGAAAGAGACACGGCUUCAGACGGAGCUGGAAGUCGGUUCAGUUUUAAUCCAAGGAACCAAAAACGAGACGAAAUCACUCGAGUUCCAGCGGCGUGAGGAAGAACUCUUCCUCCUCUUCCUCCUCAUCCUCCUGCUCUUCUUCCUCCUCCUCUUCCUUCUACUCCUCUUCCUCCUGCUC